GUGCUUGAUUCGGCAGCACAUAUACUAAAACUGGAAUGAUACAGAGAUUAGCAUGGCCCCUGUGCAAGGACGAAGUGCAAAUUCAUGAAACGUUCCAUUUUUUU
ensembl:snRNA U6 U6 spliceosomal RNA